GUCUUGGUAGCUCAGAUGGAAGGGCAUCGGGCUAGAGAUCCGGUGGUCGCGGGUUCAAGUCCCGUCCAAGAUA